rnacentral:rRNA from 1 species
CAGCAGCCACGGGAAUACAGAGGGUGCAAGCGUUAAUCGGAAUUACUGGGCGUAAAGCGCGCGUAGGUGGUUUGUUAAGUUGGAUGUGAAAGCCCCGGGCUCAACCUGGGAACUGCAUCCAAAACUGGCAAGCUAGAGUACGGUAGAGGGUGGUGGAAUUUCCUGUGUAGCGGUGAAAUGCGUAGAUAUAGGAAGGAACACCAGUGGCGAAGGCGACCACCUGGACUGAUACUGACACUGAGGUGCGAAAGCGUGGGGAGCAAACAGGAUUAGAUACCCGUGUAGUCCCUGUCUCUUAUAC